GACGAACGCUGGCGGCGUGCUUAACACAUGCAAGUCGAACGGAAAGGCCCUGCUUUUGUGGGGUGCUCGAGUGGCGAACGGGUGAGUAACACGUGAGUAACCUGCCCUUGACUUUGGGAUAACUUCAGGAAACUUGGGCUAAUAUCGGAUAGGAGCUCCUGCUGCAUGGUGGGGGUUGGAAAGUUUCGGCUGUAGGGGAUGGACUCGCGGCUUAUCAGCUUGUUGGUGGGGUAGUGGCUUACCAAGGCAUUGACGGGUAGCCGGCCUGAGAGGGUGACCGGCCACAAUGGUACUAAGAUACGGCCCAGACUCCUACGGUGGGCAGCAGUGGGAAAUAUUGCACAGUGGGCGGAAGCCUGAUGCAGCGACGCCGCGUGCGGGAUGACGGUCUGCGGGUUAUAAACCGCUUUCGGCUGUGACGAAGCGUGAGUGACGGUAAUGGGUGAAGAAGCACCGGCUAACUACGUG
rnacentral:rRNA from 1 species